AACCAAAAAGAAUUGUCCUCCAACACCGUGUUAGUGAUUAAACAGAGGAUAAUGGAAGGGGUGCAAACAGUUUAUCGGAGGGUAGGGGAAAGAAAACAUCUGGGGAAUACUUAGAUGAUUAACAAAUGAGUAUUUAUUAAAGAUCAGGUAUUGAGUUCAACCCAUUAUGUACACUUUAAAAUUUAAUGUUUAUAGCAUCUUUUAAUGAGAUUUAUUUCUACUGACAUUUUACCUUUACUGAAACUAAGCCCAACUAACAGUCUCAAGUUAUUUAGAGUGGCAAAUGGCUGUCCAAAGAUUUGAACCUAUACCUGCCUGCCUCCUUUUUAAACCUUUGGACAUUUUGUAAACUGCUUGAGAUUUUCUUCACAAUUAACAUUGAGUGAAUAGUGGGUACCGGGUUUUUCUCUGCUUCCUCUCCUCUCCUCUUGGUUAGUUUGUAGGUCCUCGUGCUCUGUUUUCCUUCUAGACCCUUCUGAAUCAAAUCUUUAUUAUUUGUCAGCAAAAAAAGCUUCCUUUUUCCUUUCACUAGCACAGCCCAACUCCAUUAAAAAGGAACAUUGUUAUUCUGUGCAGUGUGCAUCAAAUAACAAAUCAUUGGUUGAUGCAAAAAAUUAGUCAUUAAGAAUCAGCCAUCUGCUUCUCUAAUCUCCUUAAAGUGCCAUAUCAAAUUGGCAGAUACCAUUGAAUUUUUAAGGAAAAAAUCCUUAGUGUGAAAAAGUGACAUUAAAGGUUUAUGUCCUCUUCUUGUGGCCCAAUAAACAAUAUUAAUGGCAAGGCAUGCAAAGGAUUAAUAGGUCCUCCCUGCAAGAGGCUCGGUUAUAGCAAUCCUGAGGAAUUCUGCAGGCUAAAAUAUGAGCCUUGCGGUACCUCUGCAGGCAUAAAUUAUUUGGUUUUUCUUCGCCUUGAAGGAGAGCCUGUCACUCUAAAGGCAAUUUUUCUCUUUGAUCCUUUGUGCUAUAAUUUCAUCCACUCCUUGCAAUGCACCCUCCCACGUAGAGUGUUCUUCUCCCAACCUUUAGUCUUAAAAACCAUUUCUCCUCACCAGCCAGUCCUACAAAGAGUGAAAGUACCUCUAAGAGAGGUAGCAUUGGUUUCCCUCUGGUGCAUUCAAGAUAUGGUCCGUAGCAUUUUUUGAGAAUAGGGAACAAAAUUGAGGCAAUAUUUGAAUAGAGAAGUUUCUUAAGUAAGUGCCAUCAAACCUUAAUCAUCUCUGGGAGAAAUAUUAGGUCUCUUGGAUCCAGCUUUAUAAAUAAGGAGAUAGAGGUCCAACCUCAUAAGAAAACACAACUAGUGAUGGCAGUGGCAAAUUUCAGAUGCUUUGAUCAGUUCUUUCCAGAAUGUUUUAGAUUAUAUAUUUUAUGUCUUAUUUAUUCUAGAAGAAAGUGGGCUUUCUCCAGAGACUUUUAUCUAGACCUCUAGCUAGACAAGGGUAGGUUUGGUUGUAGUCAACAAAACUUAUAAGAUAAAUGGGCAGGGUAAAGGCAGUUGAUUCUUUUUGGAGAGGGCCCACUAAGGCUCUGCUCUAGAACUUCCUGAUAGACUUAGAAAUUCAAUUAAUUAAAGCCUGAGAGGUUAAUAUUUACCUAGUGGAAUUAGGUCUCUGUGUUGUUAUUAUUACUAUAAAUGUAAUUAUUGCCUUGGUGAAUGGUCUUAUUGGAAAAUUAUUUGAUAUCUUUCAUUCUCAGCUUUCUUGUUUCCAAAAUGGGCACAAUAAUAGCAACCAUGGAAAACUUGUGUAAAAAUUAAACUUAGGAGUCAUUUACAUAGAAAGUGUGUGACAUGAGUUUAAUGAGAUCACCCCUUCCAUAACAAAGUAAAGCCCUUUAGGGUGUCUUCCUAGAAUUAAAUAGACUUACCUACUGGGACAGUAGUGAAAUAUUGAAAUGCAUUUUCAUCCUUCAAAAGAUUCAACUAACUAAAUAAAAUCCAAUACAUACACUUUACCUUUGAGGAAGGAGCUCAGGAACUGUCUGUAGAAGACAUGGAGACUUAGACUACAGUAGAGGACUUCCACUUGGGUCAUGAACUUGUAAUUGGGAUUAUAUUCACAAACCUUAGGGCAGAGCAUCGUGAGUAAAUAUAGAAACAAAGAGAGAUUGUGCAAAAUAUCACUUGGCUGGCUUUGGGCUCUUGGGCCAAUGGUGGGCUCUUAACCAAGUACAGUGCUGCCCCUGGGGGAAAUUGAAAAAGUGUGGGAACACUUGUGGUUGUCCUUUAGCAUUUAAUGCCUACAGCCAAGAAUUCCAAAGGUCCUGUAUUACAUGAGAUGAUCCCACCCAUCGACCCCAGCCUCAAAUGUCCAAAGUGCAUCCCCACUGAAUGAAGGUGAAUUGAAGGAGAAAUGAGGCUGAUGGGACAACCAGGUAGGACUGAGAUCAGAGAACCUUUUCUAAGAUUUGCUGAGAAGUGAAAGCCUAUAGUAAAGAGAGCAUGAGCUAUAAUAUAUGUGGAAACACUGAAUAAUUGUUAGUACUGGUGUGGACCUCUGCCAUGAACAUAUUUCCAACUUUCUGUAUCCAAAUAGAGAUAAAAGUUUAUUCAAUUUAGCAAAGGUCAUUCUGGUAUAAUAUGACUAGAAAAUACAAAAUUUUAGCUUAUUACACAUAGACUAUUUGAGACAUUACAAACUUACAAAUAGCAGUAUUGACUUUUCAUCCACAUUUUUAUUUGUUCCAAAGCAGCUUAGCACAGUGGUUAGUUCUAGGCUCUGGAAUGAGACAACCUUGGUUUGUACCCAUCCACACUGUUUGUGUUUAUGAUCCUGACAAUUUAUUUACUCUUACUGUGCCUUAGUUGUUUUAUUUUAAAAAGUAGUAGUAUUUAAAUCUUCAUAGGGUUAAUAAGAGAAUUAAAUGCAUUAAUACACCUGAAGUGCUUAUAAUAGUUGCUGACAUGAAUUUGAGCAUUCAAUACAUGUUAACCAUUGUCAUUAUUAGUGAGCAUUCUAACGAAGCACACUAUUAAGAGAAUUUGAGACACACCUGCCAGAUUAUACUGCAAAGGUCAGAAUAUGGAUGCAGUAACCCUAAGAGAAAGCUAAAGAAGACCCAGCAUAAAGUCAGGAAUUCAGAAUCAUCCAAUUUCAAAGUGACUAUUUGAAA
rnacentral:lncRNA from 1 species